rnacentral:rRNA from 1 species
UUUGAGUGAGUGGCGAACUGGUGAGUAACACGUGGGAAACCUGCCCAGAAGCGGGGGAUAACACCUGGAAACAGAUGCUAAUACCGCAUAACAACUUGGACCGCAUGGUCCGAGCUUGAAAGAUGGCUUCGGCUAUCACUUUUGGAUGGUCCCGCGGCGUAUUAGCUAGAUGGUGGGGUAACGGCUCACCAUGGCAAUGAUACGUAGCCGACCUGAGAGGGUAAUCGGCCACAUUGGGACUGAGACACGGCCCAAACUCCUACGGGAGGCAGCAGUAGGGAAUCUUCCACAAUGGACGAAAGUCUGAUGGAGCAACGCCGCGUGAGUGAAGAAGGGUUUCGGCUCGUAAAACUCUGUUGUUAAAGAAGAACAUAUCUGAGAGUAACUGUUCAGGUAUUGACGGUAUUUAACCAGAAAGCCACGGCUAACUACGUGCCAGCAGCCGCGGUAAUACGUAGGUGGCAAGCGUUGUCCGGAUUUAUUGGGCGUAAAGCGAGCGCAGG